rnacentral:rRNA from 1 species
AAAGGAGGAAUGAGGGGUGGCAAAGAUUACUGGGCCUAAAGAGUGGGAAGGAGGCUUGUUAAGUCUCUGGGGAAAUCUUCCGGCUCAACCGGAAGGCGUCUCAGGGAUACUGGCAGGCUAGGGACCGGAAGAGGUGAGAGGUACUCCAGGGGUAGGAGUGAAAUCCUGUAAUCCUUGGGGGACCACCUGUGGCGAAGGCGUCUCACCAGGACGGCUCCGACAGUGAGGAACGAAAGCUGGGGGAGCAAACCG